CUUUGUUUAUUUGAGACUUGAAUUUUAAUGUAUAUAUUUGCUGUAUUUACUUAUUUUAGAGGCUGUAAAAACAGCUCAAGUAAAUUAAUUAGAAAGAGAACUACGAAUUAUAAUUCAUUAACUUAGCGGUUCAUAAAUCACAUUAACUCAAAACUGUGAAUUACGUGCCGAUAUAUGAGAAGCAGGAAAUAGUAAAAAAUCUUCUUUCCCCAAGGAACCGGGACCAAAUAAACAGCCUCGAGAAAAAUAAAAGUAACAAACCCUACUAAAGCUUUCCUGCCGAGCUGAGGCACAAAAGAGAAAGAGAUAGGUGUAUUAAAGAAGGUGUGUGUGAAAGGGAUGAGAGAUUUGGAACCACGUGACACCUGCCGGCCGCCAAAUGAAGAUAUCGCAGCUGGAUGCGAGAACAUCACGUAGCAGAUGUCGUCAACCUUGCGUUUGUAAGAUACUUUUGUUAGAAAAGAUUUUUUUGGAUUGCACCUUUUUCUAUUUAUGGGGUGCAAAGGAAUUUACUAUUUUGAGUCCAUAGAUUUACAAUCUAAAUAGCCUGUUGUAAGAUUAGCAUUAAAUUGCCCCAUGUAUGCCACGCAUGCGUUAGCAGAAAAAUACUUAGAAGAUUUCUUUAAUAAAAAAAAUAUCGAGCAACUUAGCGAAAAAAACAUAUGGAGAAUUCAAUAUUCCCUCAUCUCUGCAACCAAUUACAUUAAAACUUAAAAACUGGGACAACACAAUAUUUUUAAUUAUAACAAAAAAAACUUAUUGUUCAAGUUGUAUUAUAAUUAGCAUAAUUAUUUCACUGGUUAUAUUUUUCAUCCAGACACGAUAUGGUGAUUAAAUUGAAUGUGAAGAUAAUGAAAGUGCAUUCGAAAUACAGUGCUGGCCAAUAUAAAGUGUAUUAAAAAAAAAAA